rnacentral:misc_RNA from 1 species
AACAAGGCGUACCUGCGGACCUGCGGAAGGAUCAUUAAUAAAUGUUACUUCGGUAACUUAAUUAAUCCCUAACACCUGUGCAUCUUGUCGCUCCGGCGUCAUUUUAUAAACAUCAGUGUAAUGAAUGUAAAGUAUUAUAACAAAUACAACUUUUAACAACGGAUCU